UACGUAGGUGGCGAGCGUUGUCCGGAUUUACUGGGCGUAAAGAGCCCGCAGGCGGCUUGUCAAGUUCGAAGUGAAAUCUCCCGGCUUAACUGGGAGGGUGCUUCGAAAACUGGCAGGCUUGAGUCAUGGAGAGGGAUGCAGAAUUCCUGGUGUAGCGGUGAAAUGCGUAGAUAUCAGGAGGAAUACCAGUGGCGAAGGCGGCAUCCUGGCCAUGUACUGACGCUCAGGGGCGAAAGCGUGGGGAGCAAACCGG
rnacentral:rRNA from 1 species